UACGGAGGGUGCGAGCGUUGUCCGGAAUCAUUGGGCGUAAAGGGCGCGUAGGUGGCCCGGUCAGUUCGUGGUGAAAGCGCGGGGCUCAACCCUGCGUCGGCCAUGAAUACUGCCGCGGCUGGAGCACUGUAGAGGCAGGCGGAAUUCCGGGUGUAGCGGUGGAAUGCGUAGAGAUCCGGAAGAACACCGGUGGCGAAGGCGGUCUGCUGGGGUGAUGCUGACACUGAUGCGCGACAGCGUGGGGAGCAAACAGG
rnacentral:rRNA from 1 species